rnacentral:rRNA from 1 species
UAGGGAAUAUUAGAAAUGGACGAAAGUCUGAUCUAGCAACACCGCGUGUGCGAAGAAGGCCUUCGGGUCGUAAAGCACUUUUUGGAAGGAAUAGGAAGGAAUGUACUUCCAGAAUAAGUCUCGGCUAACUACGUGCCAGCAGCCGCGGUAACACGUAGGAGGCAAACGUUAUCCGGAUUUACUGGGCGUAAAGCGCGUGUAGGUGGUUCUGUAAGUAGGGCGUGAAAGCUCCUGGCUCAACUGGGAGAGGGCGUUCGAAACUGGAGAGCUAGAGGAUGGUAGAGGGAGGUGGAAUUCCGGGUGUAGCGGUGGAAUGCGCAGAUAUCCGGAGGAACACCAGUGGCGAAAGCGGCCCCCUGGACCAUUCCUGACACUCAGACGCGAAAGCUGGGGUAGCAAACG